rnacentral:rRNA from 1 species
AAAAGGUGGCUAUGCUACCGCUUUUGGAUGGGCCCGCGGCGCAUUAGCUAGUUGGUGGGGUAAAGGCUUACCAAGGCAAUGAUGCGUAGCCGAACUGAGAGGUUGAUCGGCCACAUUGGGACUGAGACACGGCCCAAACUCCUACGGGAGGCAGCAGUAGGGAAUCUUCCACAAUGGGCGAAAGCCUGAUGGAGCAACGCCGCGUGGGUGAAGAAGGUCUUCGGAUCGUAAAACCCUGUUGUUAGAGAAGAAAGUGCGUGAGAGUAACUGUUCACGUUUCGACGGUAUCUAACCAGAAAGCCACGGCUAACUACGUGCCAGCAGCCGCGGUAAUACGUAGGUGGCAAGCGUUAUCCGGAUUUAUUGGGCGUAAAGGGAACGCAGGCGGUCUUUUAAGUCUGAUGUGAAAGCCUUCGGCUUAACCGGAGUAGUGCAUUGGAAACUGGGAGACUUGAGUGCAGAAGAGGAGAGUGGAACUCCAUGUGUAGCGGUGAAAUGCGUAGAUAUAUGGAAGAACACCAGUGGCGAAAGCGGCUCUCUGGUCUGUAACUGACGCUGAGGUUCGAAAGCGUGGGUAGCAAACAGGAUUAGAUACCCUGGUAGUCCACGCCGUAAACGAUGAAUGCUAAGUGUUGGAGGGUUUCCGC